AGGAAGAACUUGAAAGAGAGGGAAUAUGGGCUUUGAUCGAUUGAGUCGCCCAUAUAUUCGGCAAGAAUUGUUACAGGAUAAAUUUGGAUCGUAUUGGACUUUUAUUGCCUCAACUUUUCUCAAUGAAUAUCAGCAGCAGUGCUAUGAGUUCAAGGAGGAAUGCAACACAGAGAAAAAAAUUGCUGCCAAGCUGAAGGCAUGUGCAGAGAGGUCCUUGUUGUU